rnacentral:rRNA from 1 species
UCCGUAGGCGGGCAAUUAAGUCAGAGGUGAAAUCCCACAGCUCAACUGUGGAACUGCCUUUGAUACUGGUUGUCUUGAGUUACAGUGAAGUAGAUAGAAUAUGUAGUGUAGCGGUGAAAUGCAUAGAUAUUACAUAGAAUACCGAUUGCGAAGGCAGUCUACUGACUGUAUACUGACGCUAAUGGACGAAAGCGUGGGGAGCGAACAGGAUUAGAUACCCUGGUAGUCC